AUUGAACGCUGGCGGCAGGCCUAACACAUGCAAGUCGAACGAGUGGCGGACGGGUGAGUAAUGUCUGGGAAACUGCCUGAUGGAGGGGGAUAACUACUGGAAACGGUAGCUAAUACCGCAUACCAUCGGAUGUGCCCAGAUGGGAUUAGCUAGUUGGUGGGGUAAAGGCUCACCAAGGCGACGAUCCCUAGCUGGUCUGAGAGGAUGACCAGCCAAUCUGGAAUUGAGAAACGGUCCAAAUUCCUACGGAAGGCAGCGGUGGGGAUUAUGGCACAAGGGGCGCAAGCCUGAUGCGGCCAUGCCGGGUUUAUGAAGAGGGCCUUCGGUUUGUAAAGUACUUUCGGCGGGGAGGCGUUACCCGCAGAAGAAGCACCGGCUAACUCCGUGCCAGCAGCCGCGGUAUAC
rnacentral:rRNA from 1 species